UUGCCCUACGGGGCGCAGCAGUGGGGAAUAUUGCACAAUGGGCGAAAGCCUGAUGCAGCAACGCCGCGUGAAGGAAGAAGGCCUUCGGGUCGUAAACUUCUGUCCUUGGGGAAGAAGAACUGACGGUACCCAAGGAGGAAGCCCCGGCUAACUACGUGCCAGCAGCCGCGGUAAUACGUAGGGGGCAAGCGUUAUCCGGAUUUAUUGGGUGUAAAGGGCGUGUAGGCGGGAGCGCAAGUCAGAUGUGAAAACUCAGGGCUCAACCCUGAGCCUGUAUUUGAAACUGGGUUUCUUGAGUGCUGGAG
rnacentral:rRNA from 1 species